AUCCUGUGAUUUACGCUUACGUCACGUGACGGCGGGGAGCUUGCUUGCGGCUUGGCCGCUGCGCCAGGAGCUCGGCAGUUCACAGGCAGAGAAUGAAAAUGUAAUUGUCUCCAGCGCAGCCACCCACUACCCCCCACACCUACAAAGAGCGGCAGGGCCUGGAGUGCUUCAGGCUUCCUGGAAGACAUGGCAUUUGAAGUGAAACUGGAAAGCAGGACUUCCCUGGUGGCAUAGUGGUUAAGAAUCCGCCUGCCAACGCAGGGGACACGGGUUCGAGCCCUGGUCCAGGAAGAUCCCACAUGCCG